GUGCAUUCGGGCCGCCAUGUUGGGAGGCCCUAAAACGCAGUGUGUGCCCAUAGAAAACAAUGGGAGGCGCGGUUGUGCCAAACUGAAUGUCCUUCUCCAGCACUCACAUGCUUUUGUUGAAUACAAUUGCAGCGUGAGAAAAGCUGCUUGGGGACGGGGUCCUGCUAUCCAGUGCUGACUUUGUCAUGCUUGUUAUGUGGAGCAUGUUCCAAAAAAUGCAGCUCCGCAUAUGGUCUUCAAGUUGCAACAGGACUAUUUGGAGCUUGAAACAGUUGUGAUUUUGUCAUUUUGGCCCUCGUGUACCCAGUCUGUGAAACGCAAACAAAAAAGUCUAACACGAUAUGCUUUUGUAAUGAAGAUCACUGAUGAUGAGUAAAGAGAAUAUACGAGUUCAAGCUUAUUCAA